UUUUUAUUGACAACAUUACAGAUCUCAAAGAUACAUAUAACGAUGAUGAAGUUAUGAGAAUAUUUGAUACUUUUGGACGCUAAUGAAGGGUCGUAGAAUUUAAUUCAGACACAAAUGGUUGAGGCAACCCCUUACAAUGAGCUAGCUUCAACUGCAUCUGUAUGUCUAUCAAUCCUUCUCUUGUGUUAUUGCAAAUAAAAAUGUGAAGUUUGUCUUGGGA